UAGAUGAGCUUGCUCAUUUAUGCCGGCGACCGGCGCACGGGUGAGUAACACGUAUGCAACCUGCCCGUCUCAGGGGGAUAAUCGUCGGAAACGGCGUCUAAUACCCUGUAUGAAGCUGGACGGCAUCGUCUGGUUUUGAAAGAAUAUCGGAGACGGAUGGGCAUGCGGCGCAUUAGCUAGUUGGCGGGGUAACGGCCCACCAAGGCGACGAUGCGUAUGGGUUCUGAGAGGAAGGUCCCCCACACUGGUACUGAGACACGGACCAGACUCCUACGGGAGGCAGCAGUGAGGAAUAUUAGUCAAUGGGCGAGAGCCUGAACCAGCCAAGUCGCGUGAGGGAGUACUGCCCUAUGGGUUGUAAACCUCUUUUGUCGGGGAGCAAAAGCCGGACGUGUCCGUCUGUGAGAGUACCCGAAGAAAAAGCAUCGGCUAACUCCGUGCCAGCAGCCGCGGUAAUACGGAGGAUGCGAGCGUUAUCCGGAUUUAUUGGGUUUAAAGGGUGCGCAGGCGGAUUUUUAAGUCAGCGGUCAAAUCGUGGGGCUCAACCC
rnacentral:rRNA from 1 species